UAGAGUUUGAUCCUGGCUCAGGACGAACGCUGGCGGCGUGCCUAAUACAUGCAAGUCGAACGCUUUUUCUUUCACCGGAGCUUGCUCCACCGAAAGAAAAGGAGUGGCGAACGGGUGAGUAACACGUGGGUAACCUGCCCAUCAGAAGGGGAUAACACUUGGAAACAGGUGCUAAUACCGUAUAACAAUCGAAACCGCAUGGUUUCGGUUUGAAAGGCGCUUUUGCGUCACUGAUGGAUGGACCCGCGGUGCAUUAGCUAGUUGGUGAGGUAACGGCUCACCAAGGCAACGAUGCAUAGCCGACCUGAGAGGGUGAUCGGCCACAUUGGGACUGAGACACGGCCCAAACUCCUACGGGAGGCAGCAGUAGGGAAUCUUCGGCAAUGGACGCAAGUCUGACCGAGCAACGCCGCGUGAGUGAAGAAGGUUUUCGGAUCGUAAAACUCUGUUGUUAGAGAAGAACAAGGAUGAGAGUAGAAUGUUCAUCCCUUGACGGUAUCUAACCAGAAAGCCACGGCUAACUACGUGCCAGCAGCCGCGGUAAUACGUAGGUGGCAAGCGUUGUCCGGAUUUAUUGGGCGUAAAGCGAGCGCAGGCGGUUUCUUAAGUCUGAUGUGAAAGCCCCCGGCUCAACCGGGGAGGGUCAUUGGAAACUGGGAAACUUGAGUGCAGAANUNGAG
rnacentral:rRNA from 1 species